CUUUAAACAUUUCAUCACUUUGUAAUGUUAAAAACUAGUGUGACUAACAAAAUAACCAAACAGUGAUGUGUACCACAUGCUGGUGUUCAAGGACCCAUUGUUAACAAUAAAAAUGGAUGAAAUUUUUAAUA
rfam:Gossypium raimondii Chr10_contig_1427, whole genome shotgun sequence.